ensembl:lncRNA
AUGGCGUCCUUCUUUAAAAAAUGUGAUGCGUGUGGGGGCACACUCCCUGAGGCGGAUGGCCACGCCAAAUGCCUCCUCUGCCUGGGGGAGAGCCAUAACCCUCAAUCCUGCCAAGUCUGCAGAGGUUUUACCCCCCAAGCGAGGAAAAAUAGAGAAUCGAGGCUUAAAGCCUUGCUAUAUGAACAGGCGCUAGCCCCAAAUGCCCCAGGGGCCCAGGAGUCCCGGCCAAGCCCAUCGGCCGCUGGAGGUGAUGAGGCCGUUGAGCCCUCGUGUCCACCACCUCGAGAGGCCUUGCAGAGUAUCACCCAAGAGGCGCCCAGAUUAGAAGAGCCAGUACCCACCACUGUGGCACAGCCAUCUAAGGGCCUGAAGGAAGGCAAAAAGAAAACCAAGAAAACAAAACAUCUCAAUAAGGCCCCACGGGCCAAGCCGCUGCCUCAGUGCCAACCGAGGGCAAGCCUCUCUCCAAGAUCGGACAACCCCCCUCCCUUGACUCCGAUCGAACCUCAGGCCUCGCAAGCGCUUUCCUUAUCAGGAAUUAUCCCUGCCCAGCCGGUGCCGUCACCACCGAGCGUACUGCAGGAGGCGCGGAACCGAGAAAGAAGGGGCAGAAGGUCUAGCUCCAGCUCCAGCUCGAGCAGCCCCCCUCCCUCUCCUAAGCGCCCCAGACGGGGUCGAUCAACCCGCCGCCGGCGAGGAGCUGCCUCAGCCAGCUCUGCUGACUCCUCAUCCCCACCUCGUGAAGGCUCUACUUACUGGUAUGGCAGGGCCAGCUCCUCAGCCCCUUGUCUUCCAUACCCUUUUUAUGGACAGGGGCUGCCUCCAUACCCAUUUUUUCCUCCUGGAUUCGACCCUUGGGAGCCCUAUAGGCAGUUUGCCAUUGCCUCGGCACCGGCGCGAAGCCACGCCUCCAUGGCGUCGGGCCCGACAGCGCCAUUGGAAGACAGCCGCCAUGGCCACGCCCCCACAAAGCCAGCGCCAUUGGAGGUGGCCAGCCAACGCCACGCCCCAGCGAUGCCUAUGGUGCGCAUGCGCCCAGGGACUGAAACGCAGGCUGAAAUGGCAUCCACCUCCGGAGCUUCCCUUCCUAGGACGCCUGUCCCUCCGCAGCAGGAAGAAGCCCCUAGUGGAGUUGAAGACAAGUCACUGGAAGCCCAGGCAGUAGUUUUAGACCCCCAUGAUGUUACUGACCCUGGGUCUGGGGAAGAUUUUAAGACUUUCUCAGCGCUUCUAGUUAGACUCUCGCGGGCCCUCAAUCUGCCGGCUCCAAAGCCUGUUAAAGUUGUUGAGGAUCCAGUUUACCCCUCUUCCAAGCAGCAUGGGCCUUUAACUACAUCCCUGCCGUCACUGCCAUAUCUCAUAGAACUGGUAAAGAAUGAAGGAGUCUCCCCAGCCUCCCUUCCUGCAACCCCCAGGAGGGCGGAGUUUUUAUACAAGAUUGAGCUUUCAGGGGCCCAGUGGCUGGCAAAGCAACCCAGACUGAAUUCUAAGGUAGUAGACGCUACCCAACCUAAGGCAGUGCAGAGGUCUCAACCAACUCCAACCGAUAAAGAAGGAAAAAAGCUAGAAAGUAUGGGCAAAAAGUUUUAUUCAUCAGCAUGCCUAUUUGCUCGGAUGGCACACUUCACAGCCUAUACAGGUGCUUAUCAAUCCUACCUGUGGGAGAAGAUGGCUCCAUACAUUGAUCUACUCCCAAUGCAGGACCAGGCGCUGGCAAAGGCGUUCCAGCAAGAGGCGUGUCUUUUGUCGGAAGUACAGAAGGAGCUGGCUAAGAAUGUGGCUGAUGCCUCAGGCAAACUCCUAGCUGGGGCCAUAUCCCUACGACAGCAUGCCUGGCUCCGGGCCGCAAACCUAUCCCCAUCGGCUAAGUCUGUCAUCGAGGACCUUCCUCUAGAUGAGGCAGGUAUUUUUAACCCGGACACAGAUGCCCAAAUUAAAGACACACACGUGGUGACACAGGCAGCUCACAAGUACGGUGUUCAGCAGACCUACUACUAUCAAAGACGUCGAUGGGGACAGUAUUAUCGAAGUAGAAGAUCCUCAUCUCCAGCGUUUAGAGGGCGGCAGAGGCCUUCCUUUCGUCCAUCGGGAUCCAGACGUCCUUCUUUUCCCUUCAAGUCUCAGCACCGAAGUGCAGGAAAGCAGGGUGAGAAGCAGAGGCGCCGGUUCUAG